GAAGGCUGAAAUUCGCCUUCAUGAAGUCGGAAUUGCUAGUAAUGGCAGGUCAGCAUACUGCCGUGAAUACGUUCCCGGGCCUUGUACACACCGCCCGUCACACCAUGAGAGUUGGAGAUACCCGAAGCCUAUGAGCUAACUUUUAGAGGCAGUAGUCGAAGGUAGAAUCAAUGGUUGGGGUGAAGUCGUAACAAGGUAAC
rnacentral:rRNA from 1 species